rnacentral:rRNA from 1 species
GACGAACGCUGGCGGCGUGCCUAAUACAUGCAAGUCGAGCGCAGGAAGCCGUCUGAACCCUUCGGGGGGACGACGGUGGAAUGAGCGGCGGACGGGUGAGUAACACGUAAAGAACCUGCCCAUAGGUCUGGGAUAACCACGAGAAAUCGGGGCUAAUACCGGAUGUGUCAUCGGACCGCAUGGUCCGCUGAUGAAAGGCGCUCCGGCGUCGCCCAUGGAUGGCUUUGCGGUGCAUUAGCUAGUUGGGGGGGUAACGGCCCACCAAGGCGACGAUGCAGAGCCGACCUGAGAGGGUGAUCGGCCACACUGGGACUGAGACACGGCCCAGACUCCUACGGGAGGCAGCAGUAGGGAAUCUUCCACAAUGGACGAAAGUCUGAUGGAGCAACGCCGCGUGAACGAUGAAGGCUUUCGGGUCAUAAAGUUCUGUUGUAAGGGAAGAACAAGUGCCGCAGGCAAUGGCGGCACCUUGACGGUACCUUGCGAGAAAGCCACGGCUAACUACGUGCCAGCAGCCGCAGUAA